AUAGAAUAUAAAAAGAACUAAUUAAGGAUGACUAACUAUAUAAUUAAUGGUGGUAAACAUUUUACCAAAAGGAAAACAUAAGGAAAUCCCUUAGGAUCUCAAAAAUGAAAUCUGUUACCAUAGAUAAAAAUCUUAAUAAAAUAGUUAAUGAAUUGACAUAUCUUAGUAAUUAAUUAAAGAUCAUAAUCUGAAUAACUUUCUUAGUAGUGAAGAGCGAAAAGAAAUAAGCCUUCUAGAUGAGAUUUAAAUCUCAUUCGAAAAUAAAUAAAGUAAGCAUUUGUCAAGUAAAAAUAUUAUUAUAAAAUAUGAUGUUAACUUGAAGGUAAUAACCAAGGCUAAGUAAAAUUAUAUAGUGAUAGUGAAUAGUACCGAGAGGAAAGUUGAAUAAAGAACCCAUAAAAAGGGAGUGAAAUAGAACCUGAAAUAAUUAGUUUAAAAAAUGAAAGAAUCGACUAAGAUCAAAGAUCUUAGUCAAAUAAUUGAUUUAAUCAUUUACCUUUUGCAUAAGGGGUUAGCAAGUUAUUUUAUAUAGUGAGCUUAAUAGGCAAUUUAAUAAUUAAAAAUAAUUAUAUAAAAUAGACCCGAAUACUAGUGAUCUAGUCAUCAUCAGAUUUAUAGAUCCAACUUGUUUGCGUAGUAAUGCAAUAAGAUGAAUGAUGAUUAGAGGUGAAAUACUUAUCGAACUAGUCAAUAGCUGGUUGGUCUUGAAAUAAAUAAUAGUUUAGCUUUUUAAAGAUAAAAUUUGAUUUUUAUCUAACACUUUAUAGAGUACAGCAAUGGUAAUUAAUCCAACCUCGAAAAAUUAUAAUAAAUGUACGUGUAAUAAAAAAGUUAGUAAAUUGGCGAUAAGGUCAAUUUGCAAGAGAGCAAAAACUCUAUCUAUAAAUUAAAAAUCCUAAAUGUUUAUUAAGUGAAUAUAAGAUUAUAUAUCGUAUUUAUACAUUCAGAAUGUAUGCUUGGAAUCGGCAUUCGUCUAAUUAAAUCGUAACAGAAAACUGAAUAUCAGAGACUAUUCUCACAAAUUAUCGGAUCUAAUUAGUAAAUUUUUUUUAAGAUUUGCACAAAAUUAAAGAUGAACUUUUUUAAUUAUAGAUUAAUUCUCAAAUGAGUCGCUUAUGCGAAUUAAUCAAAUUGAUUUCAAUUUGUUAAUAAUUAAUGGUAAAGACCUAUCACGAGAUAAUUCGUGAAAAAUAAUGCUAACAUGAGUAACGUAUAAAAAGGUAAAUCAAGUUGGUAAAUCUCUUGAUUAUUCAAGCCUUUUGGCCAUAAAAUCUAGGUUUUCAGCGUAAGUGAAUACACGCUAAAGUUAAUUGGUUUCUAACCUACAAUCAAAUAGGGAUGACAUUUACGGUACAUUUUCCAUUCAUUGGAAUUUGAUAAUCAGGAAAUGAAGAUAUUACCAUACUUAAACUAACACUAGUGAUUUUAAUUAAAUGAAGAAUAUUAGAGCUCUUAGAGUUACUAUUUAAUUCUCUGGCUUGCGAAGAAUUCUUUUUAAGGAACUCGGCAAAAUUAACGCUGCAACUGUCGACCACAAACACAACUGUGCGCAAAAUAAAUAAUGAAGUAUGCGCAGUGAUUCUUGCCCAAGUUUACGUAGUUAAAAUUAAUUCAUAUGAUUUCUUAAAUUUCAAUUCAAUUUAUUUUGGAUUGAUUUUUAAAAUAUAAUCCGUAAAGACUGGCGGUUGUAACUCUAACGAUCCUAAGGUAGCGAAAUUCCUUGGCCUUUAAUUGAGGUCCUUGCAUGAAUAGAAAAAUGACAGCGUCACUGUCUUAAGAAGAAAUCGCGUGAAAUUACAUUGUAAGUGCAGAUGCUUACAUUUCUCCGUUAGACGAGAAGACCCUUGAAAUUUUAAGGUAAUCAAUCAUUUAAAGAUUUAUAUAUCUUGAUUUUGUGAUUGUAAGACCUUUUCUUUGGGGCGAAGGCCUCUUAAAAAGUACCAGAGGCUUAUAUAAGGCUAAAUCAGAAUAAAUUCUAAAUCAUAACGGAUUAAUUUAGCUUGACUGCAUCAGCUCUAUCGAGCUUUCAGGGAUCAAAUUAUGUCAUUUAUGGCUAAAUUUGGUCGAUCGUAGUGAACUCCAUAAUAUCACAUAUAUGAUUAUGGAAUCAAAAGAAAUAAUUACUCAAGGGAUAACAGGGUAAUAUUAUUUCGGCGCUCUUAUUCGAAAUAAUGUUUGCCACCUCGAUGUCGACUCGUCCUAUCCUAGAGCUGUAAGUGGUUCUAAGGGUGCAGCUGUUCUCUGCAUAAAAGGGCACGUGAGUUGGGUUCAUAGCGCCGUAAGGCAGCUAGUACUCUAUCUUCGGAGAAAUUAGUUGAAUUAGAACGUAUGCCCAUAGUACGAGAGGAUUUGGGUGUGUAAAUCAAUGGUUAAUAAUUAGACGUAUAUUAUUUACACUAAUUAUAAGCUACAUUUAUAAUAGAUAAUUCCUGAAAUCAUCUAAAGGAAGAAACUAGGUUCAAAUAAAUAAUCAACUAAAUAAUUUAAAUAGUAGAACACUAUUAAGAAAAAUUAAUUUUAGCUUAAUACAAAAUUUUCUAAAGAGAUCAAAAAAUCUCAAAAUUAAUUAUUCUAUUC
rnacentral:rRNA from 1 species